GUUUAAUCCCGCUUGCGUGUUCCGGGCAAGGAUGGUGGUUUAAUUCCCGCUUGUCUAUGGAACCUACGGAUAAGGAUGGUGGUCUAAUCCCGCUUAUCCGAGUCGGGUCUGGCAACAUAACCGACGCGUGAGCUCAUGGCCAGUAGGACAGGCAUGCAUCAUAUGCAUCUAUGUGACAUUGUUUGGGUGUGUAUAUUGUAAUUGGUUUGCCUAAGUGAAUAAUUCUGUUUAACUGCUAGUUGCUAUACUUGUUGUAAUUGCUCUUGAUUGUGUUUGAACCUCAUUACUUGUGUUUGUAACUGAUUGGCUGGAUUGUGGUGAAUUGGGUGUUGAUUGAGUUGUUUGGGCCUAAGGCCGUGACUGGUAUGUUUGAGGUCUAGUUUUGUAUAAAGUAUCUGACUGAUUCAGCAUAGACUUAAUGAACCUAUGCUUGGAGCAGGAUGAUCAUUUAUACCGCGUAGGUAACUUCUUUUAU
rnacentral:lncRNA from 1 species